rnacentral:rRNA from 1 species
UACGUAGGGUCCGAGCGUUGUCCGGAGUUACUGGGCGUAAAGCGCGCGCAGGCGGCGGUGCUGGCCCGGCGUGAAAGCCCCCGGCUCAACCGGGGAGGGUCGUCGGGGACCGCACCGCUUGAGGGCGGUAGGGGCUGGUGGAAUGCCUGGUGUAGUGGUGAAAUGCGUAGAGAUCAGGCGGAACACCCGUGGCGAAGGCGGCCAGCUGGGCCGUCCCUGACGCUGAGGCACGAAAGCGUGGGGAGCAAACAGG